UACGUAGGGGGCGAGCGUUGUCCGGAUUUAUUGGGCGUAAAGAGCUCGUAGGCGGCUUGGCAAGUCGGGUGUGAAACCUCCAGGCUCAACCUGGAGACGCCACUCGAUACUGCCAUGGCUAGAGUCCGGUAGGGGACCACGGAAUUCCUGGUGUAGCGGUGAAAUGCGCAGAUAUCAGGAGGAACACCGGUGGCGAAGGCGGUGGUCUGGGCCGGCACUGACGCUGAGGAGCGGAAGCGUGGGUAGCAAACAGG
rnacentral:rRNA from 1 species